rnacentral:rRNA from 1 species
AGAUGGCGACCGGCGCGCGGGUGAGUAACACGUAUCCAACCUGCCGAUAACUCCGGAAUAGCCUUUCGAAAGAAAGAUUAAUACCGGAUGGCAUACGAAUAUCGCAUGAUAUUUUUAUUAAAGAAUUUCGGUUAUCGAUGGGGAUGCGUUCCAUUAGCUGUUGGCGGGGUAACGGCCCACCAAGACUACGAUGGAUAGGGGUUCUGAGAGGAAGGUCCCCCACAUUGGAACUGAGACACGGUCCAA